rnacentral:rRNA from 1 species
AUACGGAGGGGGCGAGCGUUAUUCGGAAUCAUUGGGCGUAAAGGGCGCGUAGGCGGCCUGACAAGUCAGGGGUGAAAUCCCUCGGCUCAACCGAGGAACUGCCUCUGAAACUGUCAGGCUUGAGGCCGGGAGAGGGUAGUGGAAUUCCCAGUGUAGCGGUGAAAUGCGUAGAUAUUGGGAGGAACACCAGUGGCGAAGGCGGCUACCUGGACCGGUUCUGACGCUGAGGCGCGAAAGUGUGGGGAGCAAACAGGAUUAGAAACCCGAGUAGUCC